UUAAGCGACUAAGCGUACACGGUGGAUGCCCUGGCAGUCAGAGGCGAUGAAGGACGUGCUAAUCUGCGAAAAGCGUCGGUAAGGUGAUAUGAACCGUUAUANCACUAUCGUUAACUGAAUACAUAGGUUAACGAGGCGAACCGGGGGAACUGAAACAUCUAAGUACCCCGAGGAAAAGAAAUCAACCGAGAUUCCCCCAGUAGCGGCGAGCGAACGGGGAGCAGCCCAGAGUCUGAAUCAGCUUGUGUGUUAGUGGAACGGUCUGGAAAGUCCGACGGUACAGGGUGAUAGUCCCGUACACCAAAAUGCACAGGCUGUGAACUCGAAGAGUAGGGCGGGACACGUGGUAUCCUGUCUGAAUAUGGGGGGACCAUCCUCCAAGGCUAAAUACUCCUGACUGACCGAUAGUGAACCAGUACCGUGAGGGAAAGGCGAAAAGAACCCCGGCGAGGGGAGUGAAAAAGAACCUGAAACCGUGUACGUACAAGCAGUGGGAGCACCUUCGGGUGUGACUGCGUACCUUUUGUAUAAUGGGUCAGCGACUUAUAUUCUGUAGCAAGGUUAACCGUAUAGGGGAGCCGCAGGGAAACCGAGUCUUAACUGGGCGUUAAGUUGCAGGGUAUAGACCCGAAACCCGGUGAUCUAGCCAUGGGCAGGUUGAAGGUUGGGUAACACUAACUGGAGGACCGAACCGACUAAUGUUGAAAAAUUAGCGGAUGACUUGUGGCUGGGGGUGAAAGGCCAAUCAAACCGGGAGAUAGCUGGUUCUCCCCGAAAGCUAUUUAGGUAGCGCCUCGUGAACUCAUCUUCGGGGGUAGAGCACUGUUUCGGCUAGGGGGUCAUCCCGACUUACCAACCCGAUGCAAACUACGAAUACCGAAGAAUGUUAUCACGGGAGACACACGGCGGGUGCUAACGUCCGUCGUGAAGAGGGAAACAACCCAGACCGCCAGCUAAGGUCCCAAAGUCAUGGUUAAGUGGGAAACGAUGUGGGAAGGCACAGACAGCCAGGAUGUUGGCUUAGAAGCAGCCAUCAUUUAAAGAAAGCGUAAUAGCUCACUGGUCGAGUCGGCCUGCGCGGAAGAUGUAACGGGGCUAAACCAUGCACCGAAGCUGCGGCAGCGACACUAUGUGUUGUUGGGUAGGGGAGCGUUCUGUAAGCCUGCGAAGGUGNUGCUGGAGGUAUCAGAAGUGCGAAUGCUGACAUAAGUAACGAUAAAGCGGGUGAAAAGCCCGCUCGCCGGAAGACCAAGGGUUCCUGUCCAACGUUAAUCGGGGCAGGGUGAGUCGACCCCUAAGGCGAGGCCGAAAGGCGUAGUCGAUGGGAAACAGGUUAAUAUUCCUGUACUUGGUGUUACUGCGAAGGGGGGACGGAGAAGGCUAUGUUAGCCGGGCGACGGUUGUCCCGGUUUAAGCAUGUAGGCUGGUUGUCCAGGCAAAUCCGGAUAAUCAAGGCUGAGGUGUGAUGACGAGGCACUACGGUGCUGAAGUAACAAAUGCCCUGCUUCCAGGAAAAGCCUCUAAGCAUCAGGUAACAUUAAAUCGUACCCCAAACCGACACAGGUGGUCAGGUAGAGAAUACCAAGGCGCUUGAGAGAACUCGGGUGAAGGAACUAGGCAAAAUGGUGCCGUAACUUCGGGAGAAGGCACGCUGGUGUGUAGGUGAAGCCCCUGCGGGUGGAGCUGAGACCAGUCGAAGAUACCAGCUGGCUGCAACUGUUUAUUAAAAACACAGCACUGUGCAAACACGAAAGUGGACGUAUACGGUGUGACGCCUGCCCGGUGCCGGAAGGUUAAUUGAUGGGGUUAUCCGUAAGGAGAAGCUCUUGAUCGAAGCCCCGGUAAACGGCGGCCGUAACUAUAACGGUCCUAAGGUAGCGAAAUUCCUUGUCGGGUAAGUUCCGACCUGCACGAAUGGCGUAAUGAUGGCCAGGCUGUCUCCACCCGAGACUCAGUGAAAUUGAACUCGCUGUGAAGAUGCAGUGUACCCGCGGCAAGACGGAAAGACCCCGUGAACCUUUACUAUAGCUUGACACUGAACAUUGAGCCUUGAUGUGUAGGAUAGGUGGGAGGCUUUGAAGCGUGGACGCCAGUCUGCGUGGAGCCAACCUUGAAAUACCACCCUUUAAUGUUUGAUGUUCUAACGUUGGCCCCUUACCGGGGUUGCGGACAGUGUCUGGUGGGUAGUUUGACUGGGGCGGUCUCCUCCCAAAGCGUAACGGAGGAGCACGAAGGUUAGCUAAUCCUGGUCGGACAUCAGGAGGUUAGUGCAAUGGCAUAAGCUAGCUUGACUGCGAGCGUGACGGCGCGAGCAGGUGCGAAAGCAGGUCAUAGUGAUCCGGUGGUUCUGAAUGGAAGGGCCAUCGCUCAACGGAUAAAAGGUACUCCGGGGAUAACAGGCUGAUACCGCCCAAGAGUUCAUAUCGACGGCGGUGUUUGGCACCUCGAUGUCGGCUCAUCACAUCCUGGGGCUGAAGUAGGUCCCAAGGGUAUGGCUGUUCGCCAUUUAAAGUGGUACGCGAGCUGGGUUUAGAACGUCGUGAGACAGUUCGGUCCCUAUCUGCCGUGGGCGCUGGAGAAUUGAGGGGGGCUGCUCCUAGUACGAGAGGACCGGAGUGGACGCAUCACUGGUGUUCGGGUUGUCAUGCCAAUGGCACUGCCCGGUAGCUAAAUGCGGAAGAGAUAAGUGCUGAAAGCAUCUAAGCACGAAACUUGCCCCGAGAUGAGUUCUCCCUGAGACUUUAAGUCUCCUGAAGGAACGUUAAAGACGAUGACGUUGAUAGGCCGGGUGUGUAAGCGCAGCGAUGCGUUGAGCUAACCGGUACUAAUGAACCGUGAGGCUUAACCUU
rnacentral:rRNA from 1 species